ACUCCUGCGGGAGGCAGCAGUGGGGAAUAUUGGACAAUGGGCGCAAGCCUGAUCCAGCCAUGCCGCGUGAGUGAUGAAGGCCCUAGGGUUGUAAAGCUCUUUCACCGGUGAAGAUAAUGACGGUAACCGGAGAAGAAGCCCCGGCUACCUUCGUGCCAGCAGCCGCGGUAAUACGAAGGGGGCUAGCGUUGUUCGGAUUUACUGGGCGUAAAGCGCACGUAGGCGGACUAUUAAGUCAGGGGUGAAAUCCCGGGGCUCAACCCCGGAACUGCCUUUGAUACUGGUAGUCUUGAGUUCGAGAGAGGUGAGUGGAAUUCCGAGUGUAGAGGUGAAAUUCGUAGAUAUUCGGAGGAACACCAGUGGCGAAGGCGGCUCACUGGCUCGAUACUGACGCUGAGGUGCGAAAGCGUGGGGAGCAAACAGGAUUAGAAACCCCGGUAGUCCCAU
rnacentral:rRNA from 1 species